rnacentral:rRNA from 1 species
AACGAACGCUGGCGGCAGGCUUAACACAUGCAAGUCGAACGCCCCGCAAGGGGAGUGGCGCACGGGUGAGUAACGCGUGGGAAUAUGCCCUUCGGUUCGGAAUAACACAGGGAAACUUGUGCUAAUACCGGAUACGAUCUACGGAUGAAAGAUUUAUCGCCGAGGGAGUAGCCCGCGUAGGAUUAGCUUGUUGGUAAGGUAACGGCUUACCAAGGCAACGAUGGGUAGGGGUCCUGAGAGGGAGAUCCCCCACACUGGUACUGAGACACGGACCAGACUCCUACGGGAGGCAGCAGUGAGGAAUAUUGGACAAUGGGCGCAAGCCUGACCCAGCCAUGCCGCGUGCAGGAUGACGGUCCUAUGGAUUGUAAACUGC